CCCAGUGGUCCUGGCAGGCGCACAGGAAGACGCGUGUCAAACACUGAGACAAGGGAGCUCUCUCUGCAAAGCCCACACAGAGAGAGAAGAAAGCUAGAAUUAAUGCUGUAAGAAUAAACACCGAAAAGAAACACAGGAGAGGCGGUUAGUUAAAUAACAGAGGGGGGAGAAAAGCCGCUCUGGGGGAACAUUCAAGACAUACCCGAAUUUUUUAAAGCAAAGUUGCAGCAUUGAAAAAAGAUGGAGGCCUUUGGAGAGGUGACAUUUGGCUGGGCACGACGGCCGAGAAUACCAACAAACUAAUGGCGCGAGAUGACAGAAGCACCUGAAUUUGCCCUUUCCUGGAUGCUCAGAUAGAGGAUGAAGCAGGGCCACUGUUGACUAAAUGGGUGUCAAGAAUUGGACAACAGUGUUCUAGUCUCCUCCAAAUUUAUUAAAGGCGCUGUUGCUUCUCCUAUGCAAUCCUCAAAGCAAGACUGAGACAAUAAGACGCUGUUUCCCAAACAGAUUCUGUAAACGCAAUUUGAAUCGGAAUAGUGAUCCAGCCGGCUGGCUUUUGUGUUCGUGAAGGAGAAGAGAUCGAGGCACAGAGAGAGCCGACCCGCUGUUGACUGGUGCCAUUGUUUCGGAGCCCUAUGAAUUCCCCUCCUUCAAAGUACAGACCCCACAGCUCGGUCUACCCUUUGGCAGUUUUCAGGAUGCCCUGCUUUGAUCUCAACCAUAAGUGCUGUGACAACAACCUUGAGAUGUAAAGAAAAAAGCCAGUUGAUGUUUUUAUGACAGACUCAUG